rnacentral:misc_RNA from 1 species
UCCCCCGUGAGGGGGCAGUCUCGCCUGAUACGUGUAACAGGCAACGAGGGUUGCGUUCGUUACCCCACUGAAGGGAACGAUUCAAACCACGAACUGACGACAGCCAUGCAUCACCUGUCCUACACCCUCGAAGGCUUCCUCGGUUUCCCGAGGCGUGCAGUAGGAUUUCUAGACCUGGUAAGGUUCUUCGUUUAGCGACGAAUUGAGCCACACGCUCCACCGCUUGUGCAAGCUCCCGUCUAUUCCUUUGAGUUUUAGCCUUGCGGCCGUACUACCCAGGCGGUCCGCUUAACGCGUUUGCUUCGCCUCAGAGAGGGUCGAUACUCCCUAAAGCCAGCGGACAUCGUUUAGGGCGUGGACUA